rnacentral:lncRNA from 1 species
UGAACCAUAACACGUCGGCUGACUGUCAUUGUGGUACUUAGACUUUUUUUUUCAUUUUAAAAAUAGUUUAGCUUGUUUGCCUCCAAAAUAGCGAACCGUAAACAAAAUUUCAGCUACCUGCUCUACAUAUCCCAUAAAAAGGCAUCCCGUGGCAGUAACAUUAAAACAAACAGCAAUAUCCCCGUGGAUCCCAAGUUAAAGGGUAGCAGGCGUAAGGGUAAGGUGGAGUGGGGCGGGGGGUGUUACAUAGUCUACUGUCUAUGCCUCUCGCACUCCGCGCGCAGCUGCCCCACGCCUCGCUCGCGUCGGCCAUGUUUGGCGGGACUGUCAAGUCAAGUCAAGUCAAUGCCAGUUUGGCGCGUAUGUAGCAGGAUGAACAAGAUGCUGCUGAAGAUCGCUUCGGUCUAGGAUGUUUGCCGGCGAGAGACGCCUCAUUUUUUCUACGCAGCCGUAUGGGACUUCGUUUGGCUGUUCUUUAGACACCUUUUCUAAUACAAUUGCCUAGUAUAAAGUUAUUAAUAAGAUAUACAAUUUUCAUAUUUAUUUAAUUAUGUAACAAGAAAAUAAUUCUAAUAAAGCGCGAGAAUUCUCUGGAACUUAAAUAAGUACGAACUCUUCGUGUUGAUUAAAAUAGGCAUUAGGUAGUUCAAAGAAGUGUAUAAAAAUAAUAAAUUAAAAUUUGACCAUUAAAAAUUUUUAGAGAAACAUAUCCAAAAUGUUCUUUGUUGAAAGAUUGGGCUUUAAUAGUUAUUAAUUUUUGAGAAUUUUGUGAGUUGCAAAUAAUAUUAUAUUCUAGUAAAUUUUCUUUCAGUUAUCGGUUAAAUUAUAACGUAAGUAUCUACGUAAUACCGAAAUAGAUGCCGUAAAUAAGUUAUACGACAGCUUAGAAAAACCCUUAAUGUUAAUUAGUAAUUAGGUAAGGGACCUUUUCAAGGUAUUGAUAUAACUUAGUAUCACAAAAAUACCCCAAAUUAUUAAAUCAAUGCAAAUUCGUUUACUUCAAGUAGGCUUAGCUUAAAAGUAGUUUUGUAACAUCAAGCUUGUCUGUUCUUAUUACCUCUACGUAGGUCCGGUAGGUAAAUUCUUCUGAGAAAAAUUAAUAGAAUCAAUAUUAACUUUAACUUUUUUCAAGAUUAUCGUAAUUAAGUACUAAAGUUAAUAAUCACUGACAAUUUAACUCUUCUUCUUGUCUGAAGAUGAAAGCUGAUUCAAUUACCUCUAGGCAUCCUCCUCAUUAGAAAAACACACCUGCUUACUGCAUAUUCUUAAUUCUUUGCGUGUGUAAAGCCAAUCCGAAUGAGGCCAGUGUGGUGGACGUGCUCUGCAGUGAG